AACACUCGAAAUGUAAAUAAGAAAUGCUCAAGUUAAAAAAAAAGAAACAAAAGAAUACCAUAUAAAUAAGAAGAAAACAAAAAAUUAAUUUUUGGUAGGUUUUAGAUUGUAAAGUUUUUGCUACAGUGUCAGUUUGAUGGCCUGUUUCCUUCUUUUGUUUGGGAGGGUUUUAUUUUGUAUUUUGUUUGGUUGGUUGUUUGUCUGAUUUCUACUAAAGCAUUAAUUUACAGUGCAGUCCAUUCACUUAUGAAAGAAAACAGCUGUCUAUCUUAGUUUGCUUGAACAGGCCCAGCAUAGCCCAAAGGUUAUUGUUAUUUCUCAUAUGCUCACACCUCCUCUGUGGUUAAUCUGAUGGCUUUUAACUGAAAAAUAUAUUUCACACCCAAGUUUCCAAUCCUUUCAUCCUAGUUCAAGUCAGUAUCACCCCCUGAUGUGAUAACUUCAAUAACUUUCUGAUUGCUUUGCCUGCUUUAAGCCCUGUUUCCCUAAAGCCGUUUCCUGCAGAAUAUUUUCCAUGAGCUUUCUCAAAUGCUAACCAGGUCUUAUAAAGCCCUGCUUUAAAUCCACAGAGAUUUCAUAUAGCAAAAGUAAAUCUACGUUCCUUACCAUAGUUUCCAAAAUUCUUUAUAUUUCUGCCUGUUAUUCUCUAUCUUUCAUGGACACACACACACACACACACACACACACACACAGAAACACUAAACCUACAUACACUUAACUGAAGUUUAGGAAGAUUGAGCAAAGAUCACCAUACAAAUAAAUGGCUAAUAUUCAACCAUUUCUCACUUAAAGGAUUAUACAUUCUCAUUUUUAUUUUAUUGUCAUGAAAAGUUCAUAAAUCCAAUAUUAUAAGGUUUCUAGUUUUAUGUAAUAUACAAUUCUGUUAUAAGACAAAAUGGUGAGUUUUCAAAUAACAUUAUUCCAAGCUUACAGAGCUUUAGGGAGGUACAUGAAACUUUGUAUAUUACUAAUUCUUCACAAGUCUUAUUUAUAUUGAGUAGUAAUAUAGUUCACUUUAAUUAUAAUGCCACAAGUCUUCCAGAUGUUCUAUUCAGAUGUUUACUGCUAUGACUACUUUUUCUCAGCUUUUUACUGCUGAAGACAAUUUUUAUCAAUAGUGCUUAGAAUUCAGAGGAUCUGAGGCUCUGAGAACAUCUGAGUGCCGUUGCCACACAGACACUGUGUAAUGGUAACACCUAAAUUUGAUGCUCUCAACUACUAUUACAAACAGAAGUGUCACAAGCCUCAGGUGAACCAUUUUCUUUAACAAUAAUAAUAAUAAUAAUAAUAAUAAUAAUAAUUUUAUUCAUUCCCUUUACAAGCCAAUAUCAGUCUUCCUCUCCUCCACAUCAAGUAGCUGCCAGAUAAGGUACAUCAUUUCCCAUUGAAACCAGACAAGGCUAUCCAUUUUGGGGUGCAGAAUACACAAGCAGGCAGGCAGGUAACAGGCUCAGGAACAGCCCCAACUCCAGUUGUUUGAGGAGCCCUCAUGAAGACCAAGCUGCUCAUCUGCCACAUAGGUGCAAAGGCCUAACUCCAGUCCAUGCUCACGCUUUGGUUGGUGAUUCAGUCUCUGGGAUUCCCCAAGGGUUCAGGUUAGUUGACUCUGUUGGUCCUCUUGUGGAGUCACUGUCCUCUUCAAGUGUCUCAAUCUUUCUUCCAACUCUUUCAUAAGAUUCCCCAAGCUCCAUCUAGUAUAUGGGUAUGAGUCUCUAUAUUUCUUUUGAUUGGCUGCUGGGUGGGGCCUCUCAAAGGACAGUUAUGCUAGGUUACUGUCUGCAAGCAUAAUAGAACAUCAUUAUUAGUGUCAGGGAUUGGUUCUUGCCCAUGGGAUGGGUCUCAAUUUGGAGCAGUCAUUGUUGGCACAUCUUGUAGACAGAACACUUUUGGAUAGGUGAGGUGCUGUCAUCCUUCACUAGGAAUCUUGCCUGGCUAAAGAACUUGACCACAUUAAGAUCCACAUUCCCCUCUGCUAGGAAUCUCAGCCAGAGUCGCUCCCUUAGACUCUCUGGGAUCCCUUCUCAUCCCAGGCCCCUGGUAUGUAUUAGAGAUUGCAUCCACCAGUCCACUUCCUUUCUCUCUCCUCUGCUUUCCCUACAUAUGCUCUCCCCAACCACCAUCACCCUCCCCACCCCAUCCCUUAUUUCACCCAGUUUCUUCCUUCCAUUGACAUCCCAUAUCUAUGUUUCCUUUUCUGAGAUUCAAAAAUCCUUCCUUGUACUUCCUUGUUAUUUGGCUUCUUUGGUUCUAUUGAUUACGGUAUAAUUAUCCUGUACUUUAUGCCUGAUAUACACUUAUAAGUGAGUACAUACCAUGCAUGUCCUAUUGGGUCUGACUUACCUCACGCAGGGUAUUUUCUAGUUCCAUGUAUUUGCCUGCAAGGUUCAUGAUGUCCUUGUUUUUAAUGGCUGAGUACUGAGCCGUUCUGUAGAUGUUGCCACAUUUGCAUCCGUUCUUCAGUUAAAAGGCAUCUAGCUUAUUUCUGGUGUCUGGGUAUUAUAAAUAAAGCUAAAAUAAAUAGUCGAGCACAUGUCAUUGUGCUAUGAUGGAGCAUCUUUUGGAUGUAUGCCCACACCUGUGCGGUAUAGCUAGGUUUUAAAGAAGAGCUAUUCCCAAUCCUCUGAAAAACUGCCAAACUAAUUUCCAGAGUAGUUGUAAAAGUUUUCACUCCCACCAGCAGUGAAGAAGUGUUCCCCUAGUUCCCCAACUUCACCAAGAUGUGCUGUCCUUUGACAUUUUUAUCUUAGCCAUUCUCAUAGGUGGAAGGUGGAAUCUCAGGGUCAUUUCAAUUUGCAUUUCCCUGAUGACUAAGGAUGUCAAACAUUUCUUUAGGUGUUUCUCAGUCAUUUGAGAUUUCUCUGUUAAGAAUUCUGUUUGGCUCUGCACUCCAUUUUUUAAUUCGAUUAUUUGGUCAUUAAUGCCUCUGGAGUUCUUUAUAGAUUUUAGAUAUUAACCCUCUGUCAGAUGUAGAGUUAGUGAAGAUCUUUCCCAAUCUGAAAGCUGUCGUUUUGUCCUGAUGACAGUGUCCUUUGACUUAUGAAAGGUUUUUCAAUGUCAAUUUAUUAAUUCUUGACCUUAGUUCCAAAGACACUGGUGUUCUAUUCAGGUAGCUGUCUCCUCCACCAAUGAUUUCAAGGCUAUUCCCCACUUUCUGUUCUAUUAGAUUAAGUGUGUCUGGUUUUAUGUUGAGGUCUUUGAUCCAUUUGGACUUGAGUUUUGUGCAGAGUGAUGAAUAUUGACCUAUUUGCACUCUUCUACACGGAAACAUCCAGUUACACCAGCACAAGCCUCUAGUGAACCAUUUUGUUACUGAAAGAACAGCAUUCCAAAUAUCUUCAGCCUGUUUCUCCUAAGAAUCAUGCUAAACUCAUCUUAUGUUUUGCAUUCUAAAGCAGUUUGUGACCCUCACUGUGAUUAUUAUGGAAAGGAUUUAUUAAAAGAGCUGUUGCUCUUUUAUAGUAUUGAAAGAAGGUUAAAAUCUCUUUGUCAAAGUAGAAUCUAAAGCAGUCAAUAUUUAAAAGAAAAUACUAUUUACAUACUUGCUUUUAACAGUAGUGACAAGAUAUAUGUUGUUUGGGAGCGUGGGUAGAAAUGAAAAAUUCAAUAAAAUAUAUCAAUGGGGAACUUCUUAUUAGAAAAGCACAGAAAAGUGUAAACAAUUAUGGAGAGUUGCAUUGGAACAUCUAAAGCUCUUCCAUUUUGACUUCUGAAUGUUCAAAAUUGGCCUCUUAUUUUUCCAAGAAAUUUCUCAAUACGUGCAUCCUUAUAAAAUACUACUUUGUGACUUUCUAUGACAAGUUUUUGAAAACAGAGAUUCACAGAAUACUGAAUACCAGUUUGAAAUUCAGGGUCAGACUGGCUAUUUAUCUGUGAUACCAACAGGUAAACAUUGAUUCUAGACACAGUCUUUCUCCCGUACUCCGGAAAGUCCACAUAGAAUCUUCAAACCCUAAAAGUGGCUCUCUUGACCUAAAAUUUUGAAUUGAGGAGUUCAUAUAUAUGCCACCCCUUCCAUUCCAGAGAGAGGAUAAAGGACUCUUUCCUAGGAGUCUUUAAGCAUCUGCACUAUGUAUAUUGUCUCCAGGGAUCAGAGAAUCAGAUGUCUUUGGAUUAUAAAUUCAUAGAAGACAGGUCUGAAGGUGAUUGAGCAUUGAUGGUACAACUAUGUCCGAGCAUCCACAGAUUUCAGUUUAUCCUUCUACCAGGAUUUCUGUCUCUAGUUGCUCAAAAUAUGAAAGUAUAAACUCCUUAAUAAUAAUGUAUUAAAAUAUUUAAUAAAUGUGACUUUAUUUCUAGAUCAAAUCACUAUGAUUUAAAGUACAGAGGUCAAAAUAUAUUCAAGAGAAAUUGCAAAUUGUUUUAACCCUUUUGACAAAAUUUUAUAUUUAUUGAUAAACAAAGAUUAAAAAAUUAAAUUCAUCAAAGAUGCCAUUUUUUCUUUUCCAAUGGAAGUUGAAGAAUGCUUUUCUAAAAUAAUCUGUGAAUAACAUUCGCUGUAAGAUGAGUCAUGCCUCCACACCUUGAACAUUGAUCUGACAUAACUGAUCAAAAUAUGAAAUUAUUAUAACCAUUUAAGUAAAUUAAAAAUAUUUGUCUCAAUGAUUUUUAUAUAAUGGAGAAAGAGACAUAGAGACAGAAAUUGAAUACAGAUGAUGAGAGAUCAAUUCGGGCCUUUGAGGAGCCUAAAAGUGUUUCCCUUGGCAGUCUUCAGAAAUAACUUGAACUGUGAAUGUUCAAACUCUAAAACUAAUGAAAUGAUGGUUCCUGUGUUUUAUAUCAUCUGAUAAUGUUAAUUGGUUAUGCCAGCCUAAAGGUGACUUCAGCUACUGUCUGUAAAUCAGUGAUGAAGAGCAAACUAUAAGUUGAAUCCUAAGAGGACGUUACCAAAAUCAUACUAAAAAGGAAAUAGUGGUAUAAAGUGUUUUUAUAUGUAAAUAAGGAUUUUUUAAUUAAUUAAUUUUAUUUCAGACAUGAUGGGAAAAGAAAAUUUCAUCAUGUUAAAGAAAAACAUAAAAGAAAUGUCUAAAAAUGUGCAUGAAAGAGUUAAAAACAGAAAUUAAUGCAAUUGUGAUUUUUAAAAUAAAGCAUCUGUGCAUUGGGCUGGGAGGAUAGAUCAAUCAGAAAUUACCUGUCUACAAGCAUGAAGAUCUGAGUUCAAACUUCUACAAGUCAUAUAAACAGCCCAAGGAAGCACAUUGUAUCCCUAGCACUCAGGGUACUCUGUAGGAAAUGGCAGGUAGAUGCCUGGAGUUCAUUAGUUGGGCAGCAUAGGUAAACUGAUGAACUCCAGAUUCAGUGAGAUAUCCUGAUUAAAAAAACAGUCAAAAUAUUGAGAAAGACACUUUAUUUUUAUCUUUUACAUGUAUAUGCUUAAUACAUAUAUGUAAUUACACCUGCCACUCACAUAUCUAUUUUCAUACAUCCCUCCUAAAGUCACACAUACACAACACACACACACACACACACACACAUACAUUUUGAUCUUUUAAAAUAUGUGUAAUAUAUGCAGUAUUUGUAACAUCUGACCAAAAAAGAGACAUAGAAAAAAAACUACUAAUCAAGUAAGGAAAUAUAGAAUUUUAUCAAUUAUAGCAUGUUUCCAAUUAACAGAAAUAUUGAUGCCUUCUAAAUUCUUUGUUAGAGUUGUGAAAUGGUGGAAAACUUUCCUAUUUACAUGAAUAUAUAUUACAACUUGAAUUCCUAAAAGGCAUGGGAAAGAUAAGAAAACUUUUCACUUAGCACAGUAACCAGUUUAGUAACUUGGAUUCACAAGUGGUGAAGAACAGAAGAAAGAAGCAUGGAGGAAUUUUCAUUUGGCCAUAGGUACACCCUGUAUACAAUACAGAAAGUAGGAGCUAGACUCAGUUUCUUAGUUUGAGCUGACUAAAACAAAGAUUUGGAUGUAUAUUUGGACUUACCCACAAAUAUAUCUCCAGAUGCCUAUAUCUGACAAGAAAUAUAGAACAUAUAGUUUAUAAAUCAUGUCAUGUGAUCAUAGAAUCUGAGCAGAGGUACAAUUAGAAAUCUUACUGAAAUUGCAGAUGACCUUAAAGGACAAUUGGAUACUUCAGUCCAAAUUCAGAAGUCUGAGAAUCAGGAAUCUCAUUGCGAAAGUUCCCAUUUACAGAUAAAAGAUUGAAAAGUAGGUGUGAUAAUAUACAAAGGCAAAAAGUUGAAUCUCAGCUACAGCAAAGAGGGAUUUGAUAAUCUACUAUUUUUUCUAAUUGGGUAACUAGUGGGUUUUGGGGUCAUGCCCACUUCCAGUGAAGCAACUUUCUUUAUUUGUUUCAAAUGGUAGUCAUUUCCUGAAAUGUUUUUACAGAGACACCUAGAAAGUAUACUUUAUUAACUAUCUAAGUGUGCCUUAGCCAAGUCCACCACAGUAUGUUGGUGAUGCUGUGAGAACAGAUGGCAUAUAAAGCGAUAGGUAGUGAUUCAUGCUCCAGAAGUGAGGAAACAGUUGGAUAGACUUACUAUAGUACGACUAACAAUGAAUCCCAUCCCAGGCAUAAGAUAUUUCCAAUCAAAAUCAACACACAUUAGUCACUUAAUGUGUAGUUAUAAAUGCCUAGGUCUACCAUGUCUCGAAGAAUGACAUGGUACUGUGGUACCAUGGUACUUAUACUUCUGUGGUACUUAGAGUUAAAGUCCUCCUCAAUCCUACAACCUAUAUGUCCCUUAGAUACUUCAAAUUCAGUCUUUCCAAUAAUAAGGUAUUAUAUGCACACUGAAUGCACUGUGUGUGUAUUUGUGUGUGCAUGUACACAUAAAUUUGAGCAUCAAUCCACAAAACAUGUAUAAAGUGAUGCUAAUAUAUAAUAUGGCCUAAAAUAUGAAGUUAUAAUGGCAAAUCACCAAGAUGUAUUCCAUGUUCAUGUUUGAUGGGUAAACACUGAUAUGUACCCUGAGUUGAGCAUCCAUAGAGACAAAAAGGGGAGAUUCAAAUAUCAUUUGUAUGGUAUGUUUUCUGAAAUUGAUCAAACAGUCAUAUUAAAGAACUUUUGUCUCUACAGAGUAGAUGCUUAGUCAAUAUCACUCCAUCUAUGGGAGCAGAGUAAAACUGAAAGGAAUUCCAAGCUCACAGACUUUAGUGAGAACUCCAAAGUCCAAACUGUAGAUGGGUGACAGGCAGUCAUCUUUUAAGUCCCUUUUCCAUCAAUUCUGAAAAGGCAUAAAACAGAACAUUUAGAAAACAUGCUUUUACCUAUAAAGCAAAUGGUAGGAAAUAGAUUUGCUUCUGAAAAAAUAUAGUCAGUAAGCCCUGCUCUAGCAAUUUCCCAUCAUAUCUCAUUCUUCAAUUAAUGCCUUCCUAAUAUAUACAUUACCCACACUAAUGAAGUGCUUGAGCAUAUAGGUAUAUUCUUGUUUAUAUUUAUUUGUACCCUUGCCUUAAGUGUCUUUUAAAGGCCUUUAGGUAAGUUAUAACCAUUGCUCUUGUAAGACUAAACUCAACUUUUCAAAGCACAUUAGAAAAAUAUGACAGACUAUAAAACGGUGAUGAACUCUUAUGUCUGGAAGUUCACUUUGUUUUUAAAAGAGAAGUCCCAGAAUAAAAAAUUGUUAAAUAGAAAUAAACAGCAACUGAACUUGGUAGAAACUUAGAAAAAGAGAGGAAGAGGUAAAUAAUGAAUUUUUCUCUUUUACCUACUAUUCAUGGGUUUGCAAUACAAGAUAUAUCAUCUAUAUAGUUCUUUCUGUCUCCUAAAAUAAUAAGUUACCUGACUUUAUAAGGAAAGCCACCAUGGUAAUUCAGAAUCUCAGUCCUAGCAUCAUUGUUCCUAUGAACUGUGAGUCCCACAUGGCAUUUUAAAUUUCAUGUUCUACAUUUUAAUGAUGAAACCAUGCAUAUUUCAUGGUCAUGAUGCUUCUUACUUAGCAUGAGUCAUAGGAGAUUGUUGCCAAAAGCAACUUAAAACUGACAACAGUAUAGAUAUAAAUGUAGAUAGAUAUAGAGAGAUUCGUUUUACUUAAUUAUAAAAUGGAAUAUAUUUUAAAACUGGCACACACAGAAGAAUCAGUCACUUCCCAAGGACAAGUCAGGGCAGGAAAAAAAAGUCAUUUACCAAUAUAGUCAGAAAUUAUGAAGAAAGUCUUGUCAAAAGACUUUAUGUGAGAAAGGAGAGAAGGAACAAAAUCUGAUGCAUUUAAUAACAUUGAUUAGAAAUGGGGAAAAUUGAGAAAGAACUAACCAACUGGGUUUGUGAUGGUGAAACCUAUCAGAGUAUGGCUAACCUCAUAUUUUUGACACAUCUUUGUGUUUGUUAUAUAUUGUUCUACCUACACUUAACAAAAAUUGUUGCAUAAAGUUAUUGAAUGACUGCAGCCAAAUUAUAUUCGGUGUAAGGUGACUCAUAAAAUCUGGUAUGAUCAUGCCAUGUAAUUCUGUAUCUGACUCAUGAUUGUAUACCUCUUGAAUGUCAGGAGAAAUCAAAAGCAUAGCUAGAACUGUGAAAUAUAAUGACUAUACCAUGUUGGAUCCCAGGCACUAAAAUAUUACUAGUUGAUGAGAUCAUAAAGAAAACAUUCACUGUAAAAUUGAAAGGCUAUGAAUUAUAGCAAUGACAGCUACCACAUCCCAAGGGAGUAGAUGAACAUUGGUAGGGUUCUCCAGAUAAGCAGUGCUCAUUGGAGUCCUUAGUUUGAGCACCACUGAUAACAUAAAAUUUAUAGCAGAGAGGUAUUUCAAAGGAGACUACACGACACUGGCUCUCAACCUAUAGGUUCUGACACCUUUGGCAAGGUUGAGGAGUUGCCUGAGACCAUAUGCAGAUCAGAUAUUUAUAUUACAAUUCAUAACAAUGGAAAAUUACAGUUAUAAUAUAGCAACAAAAAUAAUUUUAUGGCUGGUGCUCACCACAACGUGAGAAAAUGUGUUAAGGGUUGUGGCCUCAGGGAGUAAGCAAUCCAGUGCUAUAUGUCUAUUAUUAAAUUGAGCAGUCCUAGGAGUCUUGUUCUUACACACUUAUAUGGCUACAGAGGCUAUGCCUACUAGUUUUGUAUCAAUUUGACACAAGUUAGAGUCAUCAGUGAUGAGGGAAUUACACUUGAGGAAAUGCCUCCAUAAAAUUGCCCUGUAGACAAGUCUCUGAAAUAUUAUCUUUCUUUGACUGGUGGAGGAGGGCCUGCGAUGACCCCUGAGCAGGAGGAACUGGGUACUACCAGAAAGAAGCCUGGGUGAACUAUGGGGAUCAAGCCUGGAAGCAGUAUUCCUCCAUGAUUUCUACUUACAUUACUGCCUCCAUGUCCCUGUCCUGACUCCUCUUGAUGAUGGGCUGAUACCAAAGUGUAAGAUAACAUCAAACUUUUCCUCCCCAAGUUGGUUCUAGUCAUGGUGGGCUUUGUUUGUUUGUUUUCUGUUGUUGUUUUCUUUCCUCAUACAAUACAUCCCAACCAGAGUUCCCCCUCCCUUCACCCUUACCUUCCUCCCCCAUUUCUCCUUUUUCCAAAGUCCACUUCCCCUCCAUUUCUCUUCAGAAAAGAGCAGGUCUUCUGAAUAUAUCAAUCAAAUAUGGCAUCACAAGGUACAAUAAAACUAGGCAUAAACCUUCAAAUCAGGGCUGGGAUAAGAAACCCAGUAGGAGGAAAAGUUCCUAGGGCAGGUGAGUCAGUAACACCCUCAUUCCCACUGUUAGGAAUCCCAUGAAAACAGGAAGCCCACAACCAUAACAUUUGAAGAGGACCUACUGCAAACCCUUGCAAGCUGCAUGAUUGACACUUAAGUUUCUGAGAGCCCCUAUGAGCUCUGCUUAGUUGACUUUGUGGGCCAUGUUCCCCAGUCAUCUUUGUUGGAUAUGGUUUUUUUUAUCACAGCAUCUUAAAGACAGGGGCAUACUGAAGUGUCCAUUUACUCUGUAAAGAGGAGACAUAAACCCAAGACAAGCUCUCCUCUACUACAAGAAAAGAAUAAACAAAGAAAAGGCAAUGGAUCACUUAAAAUAUUUCACCGGGGUAACUUUAGGGACUUGUUACAUGUUAUGUAUUUUUGGGAGCAGAAACAUGAGGACCAAUUAGGAUCAUUUUUAGUAAUCAGUUGCUGAUCCUGCCCACCUGUCUUAGUCAGGAUUUCUAUUCCCGCACAAAACAUCAUGACCAAGAAGCAAGUUGGGGAGAAAAGGGUUUAUCAGCUUACACUUCCACAUUGCUGUUCAUCACCAAAGGAAGUCAGGACUGAAAAUCACACAGGGUAGGAACCUGGAAACAGGAACUGAUGCAGAGGCUAUGGAGGGAUGCUGCUUAUUGGAUUGCUUCCUCUGGCUCACUCAGCUUGGUUUCUUAUAGAACCCAGGACUACCCAGGCACCACCUACAAGGUUUCCCUCCUUGAUCACUAGUUGAGAAAAUGUCUUACUGUUGGAUCUCACGAAGGCAUUUCCUCAAGGGAGAUUCAUUUUCUGUGAUAACUCCAGCUUAUGUCAGGUUGACACACAAAACCAGCCAGCACUCCACCAAAGAAAGACUGAAUCAGAAUCUUCAAGUUAAAAAUUUCCAGGUGACUUCUGGCAACACCAAAUUUUUAUUCUGUAUUUGCAAGAAAAUUAUUAUUUGUCAUUUAUUGUUUGCAUCACAAACUUGUUAGAACUCAAUAUCACUACUAAAAGAUAGUUGAUAAACUAGUGGAUUCUACUUAAUGUUUAAUGCUCUAAGAAAAUGGUAAUUCCUGUCUUAGAGUCACUUAGGGUGUCAAAAAUCUUGAAUACUUAAAAUAAACUAUGAAUUUCCCUAGGAUGAACACAGGGGCUAUAAUACCAUAUUAUACUUUUUCAGGUCUAGGUAUUACAAAAAACACAUAUUCCAAUUUUAUUUUAAGGACUGUCUAAUUAUAUGACCAAUUUAUUGAAAUUUAUGUAGUAAUAAAUGAGAUUACACAUAGACCUUAAAACACAAUGAAGAUAUACAACUGUACACAAGAAAACUACUGAUAAUCAUGUGAAUGCAACUGGGUGACUUGAUGAUGUUCAUCAUAAAUUUAGCAUAUGCUUUCAACUGAAAGGGCACAUAUGCAAAGAUUCAGUGGUUGAUUCUUGUGAUGGUCUGUAUAUGCUUGGACCAGGGAGUGGCACUAUUGGGAGGUGUGACCUUGUUGAAAUAGAUAUGUCACUAUGGGUAUGGGCUUUAAGACUCUAGUCAUAGUUGCCUGGAAACCAGUCUUCUACCAGACUUGAGAUGAAGAUGAGAUGAAGGUGCAGUUCCUCCUGCACCAUGCCUGCCUGGGCGAUGACAGGCUCCUGCCUUGAUGAUAAUGGACUGAACCUCUGAACCUGUAAGUCAGCCGCAAUUAAAAGUUGUUGUUAUUGGAAUUACAUUGUCCGUGGUGUCUCUUCACAGCAGUAAAAGCCUAAAGAAGACAAUUGUAAUAAUAGUAAGACAAAUUACUACAAACCCUUAUUUUAUUUUAAGUGGUCUCUAAGGGGUUUGUUUCUAUAGUCUCAAUUAUUACUACAGUUAAUAUAAGAAAAUUAUUAAUAAGCUAAUUCUCAGAACUUAGAGAUGUUUCUGAUGAUCUAUGGCUACAAAGUGAGUUAUCUGUCAAAAUAAUCUUUGUACACUGACUCAAGAGUUGCUCCAAAAUCAUAAAUGAUUCAGGAUGGAGACCUGGGACUAUGUCUCUAUCGGAAUAGACAUAGAGGUGAGUCAACUGGAAGUGUCUGGAUGAAGCGGAGCAGAAUGGCAUUGGUAGAGUCAGUGUUUUGAACAUCACAAAUAAUAAGUCAGGAUACCAAAUUGUGUAAAUCAACAGAAUCAGAUCACAAAGUUAAACAGAAAAGACAGUUCACAACCACAUUACCCUGCUGACCAUUCAUGGAAUCUCAAACACUGACUUCCCUGGACCUCUAUUAUUCCAACAUGUCUAGGUAAGAAGUGCUUGAAAACACUCACUUGCUUAGAGAUACUUCAUUGGUAUUGUUUUAGUAGGGUCCAUGACUGAAAUAACAAACUCACAAAAUUAUAAUUCAUUGAGAUGAGGGAAAGAACUUGAAAAUCUGAGUUGGGACCAUACCAAAUGUGACUGUGUCAAAAUCUUAGCCACUUUGUGUAGAAACCCCUGCUACCCUAAUAUCAGAGACAUUUCAACUGGGCUUUCUGCCUUGUAGUUUUCUGAAUAUUUGAACCAGGAUUGUUAAAAAGUGAUCCAAUACAGAAGUCCCCAUAACAGUAAAUAGCUCUUCUGUUAGCAUGGCUCCCGGUGCAGAGUUACAUAUGUGGAGAUGCAAUUAGCGUGGGAUAAUUAUAAGCCACACACUUGACGUCAGAAGACUACUAUUGUGACAUUCUGAAAACAGUGUUUGCAAAGCACUUUCCUAUAAAUCCUGUGGAAGUUAAAUAUAGAACUACAGCUUGGUUUCACAUAAAUUCUGGAGUUGGUCAGUCAUGGAGACAAAAUUACAUUUAGAGUUCCCUCUGGCAUUGUAAGAGGAAGGACUGAAAGGAGCAUUCUCACACUGCAUAACAGGUGCCCCAGAUUCUUAAUGCUGUUGGUUUCUAAACCAAAUCCAAGUCAGGAGUUUCACAAUGAGCCGGCAGAAGCUUAAGAUAAUUGUGACAGUUGGCUAAUAAGUUCCCUAUUUAGGGAGCAACGAGGUUUGACAGGCUGACUAAUUAAAGAAUGAUUGUAUUUCCUGAGAUCUAAUUGAGAUCUAAGAUCUUAGUUGCAUUUGAGCUUAAUACCUUCUUGCUCUUCAUUUUAGAAACGUUCCAUCCAUGUAGGCUCUGAAACUUGAAUCAUAAUUGGUAUUUGCUUUCCUUUUCUCCUAAGAAAAAAAUUUGUCUCUAACAGUAAAUCAUACAUAUGAUGUGAAUAAUAUAUAUUUUAACAAUAUUUUAUAUUUUAUUGUGUUUUAUGUUCAGGGUUCAUUCCUAAUAAUUUUGUUGUUGUUGAUUAUAAUUUUUUUCUUUAUUAACUUGGAUAUUUCUUAUUUACAUUUCGAUUGUUAUUCCCUUUCCCGGUUUCUGGGCCAACAUUCCUAUAACCCCUCCCCCUCCCCUUCUCUGUGAGUUUUCCCCUCCUGAUCCUCCCCCCAUUACCGCCCUACCUCCAAAAAUCACAUUUACUGGGGGGUUCAGUAUUGGCAGGACCAAGGGCUUCCCCUUCCACUGGUGCUCUUACUAAGCUAUUCAUUGCUACCUAUGCAGUUGGUGCCCAGGGUAAGUUUUGGGUAGAGGCUUGGUGCCUGGAAGCUCUGGUUGGUUGGCAUUGUUGUUCACAUGGGGUCUCAAGCCCCUUAAAGCUAUUUCAGUCCUUUCUCUGAUUCCUUCAAUGGGGGUCCCGUUCUCAGUUCAGUGGUUUGCUGCUGGCAUUCGCCUCUGUAUUUGAUGUAUUCUGGCUGUGUCUCUCAGGACAGAUCUACAUCCGGUUCCUGUCAGCCUGCACUUCUUUGCUUCAUCCAUCUUGUCUAAUUGGGUGGCUGUAUAUGUAUGGGCCACAUGUGGGACAGGCUCUGAAUGGGUGUUCCUUCUGCCUCUGUUCUAAACUUUGCCUCCCUAUUUCCUACCAAGGGUAUUCUUGUUGCCAUUUUAAAGAAGGAGUGAGGCAUUCACAUUUUGGUCAUCCUUCUUGAGUUUCAUGUGUUCUGUGCAUCUAGGGUAAUACGAGCAUUUGGGCUAAUAUCCACUUAUCAAUGAGUGCAUAACGUGUGUUUUUCUGUGAUUGUGUUACCUCACUCAGGAUAUUUUCUAAUUCAUUCCAUUUGCCUGUGAAUUUCUUGAAGUCAUUGUUUUUGAUAGCUGAGUAGUACUUCAUUGUGUAGAUGUACCACAUUUUCUGUACCAUUCCUCUGUUGAAGGGCAACUGGGUUCUUUUCAGCUUCUGGCUAUUAUAAAUAAGGCUGCUUUGAACAUAGUGGAGCAUGUGUCUUUGUUAUAUGUUGGAGCAUCUUUUCAGUAUAUGCCCAAGAGAGGUAUAGCUGGGUCCUCAAGUAGUUCAAUGUCCAAUUUUCUGAGGAACCUCCAGACUGAUUUCCAGAAUGGUUGUACGUACCAGUCUGCAAUCCCACCAACAAUAGAGGAGUAUUCCUCUUUCUCUAUAUCCUCACCAGCAUCUGCUCUCACCUGAGUUUUUGAUCUUAAUCAUUCUUACUGGUAUGAGGUGAAAUCUCAGGGUUGUUUUGAUUUGCAUUUCCCUUAUGACUAAAAUGUUGAACAUUUCUUUGUUUUUCUUGAAUUUAUGUUUUGUAUGUGUUUGAAAACAAACACACUUUAUUUUCCAGAGAGUUCUACUUUAUACACGUGGCAUUUUGCUUUAUAUACAUUUUUGUAUUUUAAUGACAUUGGGUAUUUUCUUUGCCCCCAUCCCCCAGUACUGGGGAUUAAAAACAGUGCUCACAGAAUUGGAUCUGUAAGCCACAGCCCAGGCCUCUCUCAGAUUUUAGUCAGCUCCACUAUAUUCCGCAACCAGCAUUGAAUGUCUUUUUAAUUUUUUUAUUUUAUUUUUUUAUCUUUAUUAACUUGAGUAUUUCUUAUUUACAUUUCGGUUGUUAUUCCCCUUCCUGGUUUCCGGGACAACAUCCCCUUAACCCCUCCCUCUCCCCUUCUAUAUAGGAUUCCUCUCCCCAUCCUCCCCCCAUUACCACCCUCUCCCCAACAUUCACGUUCACUGGGGACUCAGUCUUGACAGGACCAAGAGCUUCCCCUUCCACUGGUGCUCUUGCUAGGCUAUUCAUUGCUACCUAUGAGGUUGGAGCCCAGGGUCAGUCCAUGUAUAGUCUUUGGGUAGUGGCUUAGCCCCUGGAAGCUCUGGUUGGUUGGCAUUUUUGGAUGUUGAAAAUUUCUUUAGGUGUUUCUCAGCCAUUCGGCAUUCCUCAGCGGUGAAUUCUUUGUUUAGCUCUGAACCCCAUUUUUUAAUAUGGUUAUUUGACUACCUGCUGUCUAACUGCUUGAGUUCUCUAUAUAUUUUGGAUAUAAGUCCUCUAUCAGUUGUAGGAUUGGUAAAGAUCUUUUCCAAAUCUGUUGGUUGCCAUUUUGUCCUAACAACAGUGUUCUUUGGCUUGCAGAAGCUUUGAAGUUUUAUGAGUUCCCAUUUGUCGAUUCUUGAUCAUAGAACAUAAGCUACUGGUGUUUUGUUCAGGAAAUUUUCUCCAGUGCCCAUGUGUUCGAGAUGCUUCCCCACUUUUUCAUCUAUUAGUUUGAGUGUAUCUGGUUUGAUGUGCAGGUCCUUGAUCCACUUGGACAUAAGCUUUGUACAGGGUGAUAAGCAUGGAUUGAUCUGCAUUCUUCUACAUGCUGACCUCCAGUUGAACCAGCACCAUUUGCUGAAAAUGCUAUCUUUUUUCCAUUGAAUGGUUUUGGCUCCUUUGUCAAAAAUCAAGGUGUGUGGGUUCAUUUCUGGGUCUUCAAUUCUGUUCCAUUGGUCUAUCUGUCUGUCUCUGUACCAAUACCAUGCAGUUUUUAUCACUAUUGCUCUGUAAUAUUGCUUGAGUUCAGGGAUAGUGAUUCCCCUGGAAAUCCUUUUAUUGCUGAGGAUAGUUUUAGCUAUCCUGGGCUUUUUGUUAUUCCAGAUGAAUUUGCAAAUUGUUCUAUCUAAGUCUCUGAAGAAUUGGAUUGGUAUUUUGAAGGGGAUUGCAUUGAAUCUAUAGAUUGCUUUUGGUAAAAUGGCCAUUUUUACUAUAUUAAUCCUGCGAAUCCAAGAGAAUGUGAGAUCUUUCCAUCUUCUGAGAUCUUCUUCAAUUUCUUUCUUCAGAGGUUUGAAGUUCUUAUCAUACAGAUCUUUCACUUGCUUGGUUAAAGUCACACCGAGGUAUUUUAUAUUAUUUGGGACUAUUAUGAAGGGUGUCGUUACCCUAAUUUCUUUCUCAACUUGUGUCUCUUUUGUGUAGAGGAAGGCUACUGAUUUAUUUGAGUUAAUUUUAUACCCAGCCACUUUGCUGAAGGUAUUUAUCAGGUUUAGAGUAGUUCUCUGGUAGAACUUUUGGGAUCACUUAAAUACACUAUCAUAUCAUCUGCAAGUAGUGAUAUUUUGAAUUCUUUUCUAACCUGUAUCCCUUUGAUAUCCUUUUGUUGUCUGAUUGCUCUGGCUAGAACUUCAAGAACUAUAUUGAAUAAGUAGGGAGAGAGUGGACAGUUAUUGUGUAUAUUUGGUUUUGUCAUGGAAUAUCUUGGUUUCUCCAUCUAUGUUAAUUGAGAGUUUUGCUGGAUCCAGUAACCUGGGCUGGCAUUUUGUGUUCUCUUAGGAUCUGUUUUCCAUUAUCUUUGACAGUUGUGUCAAUGAUUUCUAUGGAAUCUUCUGCUCCUGAAAUUCUCUCGUCUAUCUCUUGUAUUCUGUUGGUGAUGCUUGUAUCUACAGCUCCAUGUCUCUUCUUUUGGUUUUCUAUAUCCAGGGUUGUUUCCCUGUGUCCUUUCUUUAUUGCUUCUAUUUCCAUUUUUAAUUCCUUCAAUUGUUUGAUUGUGUUUUCCCGGAAUUCUUUCAGGGAUUUUUGUGAUUCUUCUCUAUAGGCUUCUACUUGUUUAUUUAUGUUUUUCUGCAUUUCUCUAAGGGAGUUCUUCAUGUCUUUCUUGAAGUCCUCCAGCAUCAUGAUCAAAUAUGAUUUUAAAUCAAGAUCUUGCUUUUCUGGUGUGUUUGGAUAUUCAGUGUUUGCUUUGGUGGGAGAAUUGGGGUCCGAUGAUGCCAUGUAGUCUUGGUUUCUGUUGCUUGCGUUCCUGCGAUUGCCUCUUGCCAUCAGGUUGUCUCUGGUGUUACUUUGUUCUGCUAUUUCUGACAAUGGCUAGACCGUCCUAUAGGCCUGUGUGUCAGGAGUGCUGUAGACCUGUUUUCCUGUUUUCUUUCAGCCAGUUGUGGGAACAGAGUGUUCUGCUUUCGGGUGUGUAGUCUUUCCUGUCUACUGGUCUUCAGCUGUUCCUGUGGGCCUGUGUCCUGAGUCCACCAGGCAGGUCACUUGGAGCAGAAAAUUUGGUCUUACCUAUGGUCCCGUGGCUUAAGUUCCUCGUGGGGGGCUGCUUUGAGCUCUCCGUGAGGGCAGCAACCAGGAGGGCUUGUACCACCUUUUCUGGGAGCCCCCGUGCACUAGGGUCCCAGAUGGCAUUAGGUCUUUUCCUCUGGAGUCAGAAAUGUGAGCAGAGUGCAGUCUCUUCUGGCUUCCCAGGAGAAAUAUCUGAAGUCUCCCAGUGUGGCAGUGUGUGGGAUUUCAGCACUCAGGAGAUCGAAGCAGGAUGGUCACGGGCACCAAGUCAGCCUGGGCUAAGCAGCAAGAUCUUGAAGCCUAAACUCCGAAGUCCUCUGCAUAAUUGGAAAACCGGGCAGGUCUGAGAGAUUUCCUUGUAGCAGCUGCUCAGAGUUUCCUCCCCAAUAGUUGCUGGCUGCUUUUGUUUUGUUUGUUUUUAGUGACAGCAUUUCUCUGUGUAUCCCUGUCUGUAACUUACUCUGUAGACCAGGCUGUCCUCAAACUCACAGAGAUCUGGCCUGCCUCUUCAGAGCUGGGAUUAAAAGCCUUUCCCUCUUUUUGAAUAUUUUCAAACCCUAAGGAAUGAUGAAUAAAUAAAUAAAUUCUAAAGACAUCUACCUUUCAUGCAUCAAGGUUUUGAAGGCAACCACACUGACAUGUUUUCUUUUUCUUACUCAAUCUUAGCACUGUGAUAGAAGAGCAUACAGAAGGCACUAAAUACACAGAUGUUAGCAGUAGGUAUGGAUGAAUAAAAUAUUCCAUUGCAGAUCUUAUACAUAUGACUAUCCCACUUCUGUAGCUUGUCUAGAAUUCAACAAAACAUUUUUUAUGAUGAAGGAUCUGAACACAGCAAAGCAAGAUUGUAAGAUUGUACUUUAAUUUCAGAAUAUGUACACCUUUCCUUGAACACAGAUGAAGUGAUAUAUAUGAGUGAAUGGGAGAUAAGCAUAGAUUGCUACAUCUUUUCAAACAGAAACUUUAAAUAUAACUUCAUGAUUCACUCAACCUCUUUAUCAUCUCUGCCUCCUCCUGAGCAACUUACCCCAAAUAGGGGCUGAUGCUUCAGCUCAAAUGGCUGAGUAAGAAGACAAGUGGAGCUGACUGCAGUCAUAUAAAUAAUAUGUGAGACAGCAAGAAUACUUGUUUGUUCUUGUAAGUCAUUGGGAUUUGGAGUUGGUUUGCUAUUACAGCAAAACUGACAGAAUAAAGUGAAACCUAACACUUUUUUUUGGUUUUUGCUGUUCAACAAAUUGCCACUGGACUGCAAUCUAUAUUUAGAUUCUAAAAUUGUCAAUAAUGAGCACAGUAUGGCGACCUGGAACACAAAGGUCACAUGCAAUGAACUUGAGACUUUGAAGCUGAGUAUUCUCGACAUGGACUGAUCUAUUUUCUUCAUUGGAUAAAGUCAGGAAGAAACACUCUGUUUACAAGUAAACACAAAAGAAAAAUUCACAGACACUCUGAGAACCGCAGAGUUUGAAAUAAGAAGUGCUUUCCAUUUACCAUAGUAAAAAUAUAUGAAAAGAAAUUAUUUGGGCCAUUAUAGCUAACUUAGACUCAUGUUGAAUAUGACUAAGGUUUAGGAAAAAAGCUUAAAAAGCCUCUCAUUGUCUUAAGAUAUAUAAAUAUUAGAUGCAUAUAUGUAUAUUUGUAGGGAGAAGGAGAUGCACAUAUUGCUAUUGCUCCAUGGCCCCUGAUGAGAUCAAAGUGUUCUUUGGAACUUUGUCUUAAGGAUUUGCAAUCUCCUCUAAGAUCCACAACUCCCUUAUCCCUUGGGAGCUGAGUAGGUGUCAAGCACUGGGUGUGAUUUUUUUUUCUUCUUGAGCAGACCUUACAUGCAAUUAUGGGAGCUAUUGGUUACAUCUAAGAUAUGGGCAUCACUACUACACAUAUAGGUGUAAUUUCCUGCUGGUCAUCAUUGUUGUUCAUAAUUGGGUAGAACUGCUAUUUGUUUUCUUCCCUGGAAAGCUUGGAUAGCAGGUUCUGGAAAUAUAAAUAUCUUCUCUUCAAAAAGAAAGCUUUCAAGUCAUAUCCAAUUUGCACCAGCUGGGUCUUGUGUCCGAAGCACAUGAUGCCUUCAACAAUAAGGACUUUCCUCACACCUCUAAAACUCUAGGAGAUUUUGAAUGUCUGCUGCUACUUUCCUAGGCCAGUAUAUUAGUAACAGCAUUCAAAGUACUUAUUUUUAUAAUCCACAAAUAAGUGCAGUUCUCACACCUCAUCGAAGAAACAUCUCUCUGCAACAGAUGGAGACACAUGCAGAAACUACAACCAAUCAAAAUGUAGAGAACAGGCUAAUGUAGGCUGGCAGAACUUCUGCACCUAAGGCUUAGGAAAUAGAAUAGAAGACAGAAGACUAGGAGAUCCAGAGGACUAGAAAAUCCCCUGCGAUACUUUGUGUCCUGGAUAUGACAGAAAGCUUCAGCAAUGAUCUUGCGAAAACAUGGCACCCUAAACAUUAUUUGAACAAGUACAUCAUCAAUAGACAUGCUGACAAUAUUCUACCCAUAGACAAAAAAAAAAUCUACAGGUGACUACUUCUGAGAGUAGAAGAAAUAGUCUUUCCUGGGUAUGAGCCCUCUGAUUGGUUAUUCAAUGUAAAUAGGUCACCCCUAUAAAUCAUAUAGACACAGGAAACACUAAAUGAACUCAGCAAGUUGUUUUUAAACAUUUAGGAACACAGGCAUGUAUACAUGCAUGAAUGUGUGAAUGAGUGUGUGUAUGCAGUUAACCAUAACAAGCUAAAGGCCAGAAUUUCAAGCUGGGGACUAAGAGUAGUAAAUCAUGGAAAUAACAUUUUAAUGAAAACUAAGAUACAAUUUUACAGAUUUGCAUUGUCUAAGGUGCCAUCAUCCCAGGGCAAAUAUACUUAUUGCUUUUGGGUUCUAGCUCUCUAAGGCAGAAAUCAUGCUGGGAAAUUUAAUUACUCUUCCAAGGAUGUUGCAGUCUUUGAAGUGUGAAUCAUCUGGAAUCAGGAAAUUAAAAAUAAACAAGAGUCUUCCUCAGAGUAUAUCCAGAGUACGCAUGGAGGGACCCAUUUCUCCAGCUGCAUAUGUAGAAGAGGAUGGUCUUAUCUGACAUCAGUGAGAGGAAAGGACUUUGGACCUAUGAAGGCUUGAUGCCUGGUGUAGGAGAAUGCUAGAGUGGUGAGGCAGGAAUGGGUGGGUAGUUGAGGAAACAACCUCAUAGAAGCAGGGUGAAGGAGGGAUGGGAUGGAGAUUUGCAGAGGGGAAACUGGAAAAAGGGAUAACACUUGAAAUGUAAAUAUGUAAAAUAACCAAUAAAAAUAAAAAUUUUUAAAAGGA